GGAGGAUCAUUAUCGAUUCUCCUUUGAGUUGUGCUGGCCUUUUAGGCAUGUGCACGCUCUAAAUCUUAUCAUACACCUUGUGCACCUGUUUGUGUAGGUCUCUUGAGUGGGACCUAUGCUUUUAUUGAAAACACCCCUUGUAUGUUUUUGGAAUGUCUGUAUAUGGUCUUUUCUGCCAUUUGGUGGAAUCGAAUAUAUUAUAACUUUCAGCAAUGGAUCUCUUGGUUCUCGCAUCGAUGAAGAACGCAGCGAAUUGCGAUAUGUAAUGUGAAUUGCAGAUUUUCCGUGAAUCAUCGAAUCUUUGAACGCACCUUGCGCUCCUUGGUAUUCCAAGGAGCAUGCCUGUUUGAGUGUCAUUAAAUUCUCAAACCCCCUUCAUUUUUGAAGGGUGGUGUUGGACUGGUGGAGGCUUUGCUGGCAUUGGUCAGCUCCUCUGAAAUGUAUUAGCAAAAUGGAAGGUGGUUCUGACAAAGGCUUUUCGUCGGUGUGAUAAUGAUCGCCGUAGGAUGGCUUGAAGGGACUUGGGCCUUCUCGUGCUUAUAGCCUGUUAGAGGGGGUGUUGCCCCUUUUUCUUGAUUAUUUGACCUCAAAUCAGGUAGGAUUACCCGCUGAACUUAA
rnacentral:rRNA from 1 species